GUGGUAUAAUUACCUAGGAAAUAAUUCUGAUUCUCCAAAACUCAAAUGUUAUUUGUAUUUGUUAUUUGUUAUUCAUAUGGUAUUGCUUAUAACCAAUCAUCUUGACCUUUAUGAUUCUCAGUUGUUCUCAACUGUGGCCCCUGAGCUACACAAUGUGUUCAAAGUUUGAUGUUAUGAACUGUUCUUCUUGAUCUUCUUGAGAAAUGAAAUGCUCAACAUGUAGUUAAUUGAUGAUAAAAUCAUCAACUUUCGAAAGAAGCUCAAUGUAUAGCACAAUAAAAUGUGUUUUAAAAAUCUAUUUUCCUACAUUGUUCAGAUAUUUUCUAAAUGGCCGUAUAAAGCUGAUUUCAUCAUUGAUGUCGUUGCUCAAGUGAGCGAUGUGGCCUAUGGACCUCUUGUUUGGAAAUUAUCUUGGUCACUUUUCAAACCAAAUUUAAAUUCUGCCUGUUAUUCUAACAAACAUUGAAGAUAGCUACAUGUUUGAUGUUUAAAUGUUUCUUCACAUAGAUUUUACAAGCAAAUUAUUCCCCAUCAAAUCCCAUUUCAAUUUUUUGCACAACUGAUGGCAAUUAAUAAAGUUUGCUUGAUUAUCAUAUACAAUGUAGAGAUCUAGAAGUUGCAUUAUGUCUUUGUAUUACAUAUUGUUUUUAAAUUAAUUUAACUAUAGGAAACAAAAAUUAAACACACUUCCUUGAUUGUGUUUCAGAAAUAUUACAUAGUUGUUUUGAGGCAAAGAAGUAAAAAACCAGGCCCGUGGAGUGCAUUGGUUUUUUUGUUGACAUAAUCUUUUAAGGAAAAACUACUGUGGUGUUAAACAUCUAUUAAUUAUUAUGAAAAUGUUGUGCAUGUACCUGGGUUUAAUUUAUUCAUAUACCAACGAUUAGAACUAAUGUUUAUGAAUAUGCAUAGUUGAGUUAAUAUAAAUGUUUUCAUGUUUACAUGAAAUACAUGUAGUUAAGUAUUUACUGUUAAUUAGAAUAUAGUGACUCCUAAAAUUAAUUUAAACUUACUAAACUAUUAAAAUGGAUUAGUACAACCGUACAAAGUUUUUGUUUUUUUUAAACUCUGUAGUCCGUUAGAGUUUAAGCUGUAUCUUUAAAAUUUUAAUACAUUUAAUUAAAAAAAUAAUUCUUAUAUUUUAUACAAUAAUGGAGGUAAUAAUGAAUUAGAUUUAUUUUAGUUAUUGAGCAUGUUAUCAAUAUGUGUAUAAUUAUGAUACAUGUACUUAUAUCAUUGCUUCAGUUGUUUCGGUAACUGUGUUGAUCUGUUUACAACAUAAGUGCAUAUCAAAUCAAAAUACAAUAUCAUGCAGUAAUUUUCAUGUCCAGAACAAAUUAAAAUGAGAUAUCAUGUUAGUUUCAUUUGUAAUACUAGUUCAUUUUUAAUGUUCUCAUCUGUUAUAUAUAUAUUUCUGAUCAUCGGUGUUUUAAUAUUAAAAAUAUUAAAACUUGG
rnacentral:sRNA from 1 species